GACGAACGCUGGCGGCGCGCCUAACACAUGCAAGUCGAGCGAAGCGGCGAACGGGUGAGUAACGCGUGAGGAACCUGCCUCUCACAACGGGAUAGCCUCGGGAAACCGGGAUUAAUACCGUAUGGUUAGCGAUGGCCUCGCGUCUGAUUAGUUAGUUGGUGGGGUAACGGCCUACCAAGACGACGAUCAGUAACCGGCCUGGGAGGGUGAGCGGUCACAUUGGAACUGAGACACAGUCCAAACUCAUACGGGAGGGAGGAGUGGGGAAUCUUGCACAAUGGAGGAAACCCUGAUGGAGAGACGCCGCGUGAGCGAUGAAGGUUUUCGAAUCGUAAAGCUCUGUCCUAUGGGAAGCGGUACCAUAGGAGGAAGCCCCGGCUAACUACGUGCCAGCAGCCGAGGUAAUUC
rnacentral:rRNA from 1 species